UACAGAGGGUGCAAGCGUUGUUCGGAAUUAUUGGGCGUAAAGGGUGCGUAGGUGGCAAAGUAAGUUGGAUGUGAAAUCCUGGGGCUCAACCUCAGAAUUGCAUUCAAUACUGCUUAGCUAGAGAGCUGUAGAGGAGACUGGAAUUUACGGUGUAGCAGUGAAAUGCGUAGAUAUCGUAAGGAACGCCAGUGGCGAAAGCGAGUCUCUGGGCAGCAUCUGACACUGAGGCACGAAGGCCAGGGGAGCAAACGGG
rnacentral:rRNA from 1 species